UUGUGUGGGGCUGGACAGCACUCAGAAGUGGGUGGGGAGGCCCUAAAGUCAAGAGUCUUGAGGCCUGGAACCAGCAGCUGUCCUUGAAGCAUCUGUGGAUGCUGAAGGGCUCUGCCUCCAUCCUUCACUCAUCAAACCCAGAGAUCUGCUGCCUCCCGCAAAUGAAGCUGGCAGGGUCCCUGUCCUGGGGACCUUUGCUGAGGGAAAGGCAUAGAGCUGCAGUGACCUCAGGCUGGGAUCCUGCUUCUAAGUCUCGCUGGCCCCAUGGGCUCAGAAAUGGAAGGGAAAGCCACUCCAGGCCUACUUUGGUGUCACAGCAGACAGUUCCCCUGCCCUACUGCAUCCUGAAUUAGGAAGGUGGCUGGCCUGGCUCCAGCACAGUGUGUCUCCACCUCCAUCCCCUUUCCCCUCAUCCACUCCCAAGACCUACAGUCAAAUUGAUUUUCUCCAGCAGUGGGAAUGGGCUGCAUGAAGCUAUCCUCCCUCCUUCCUCACGACUGAGGUCUGGCAAUAGCCUGAUUGAUGAGGUUUCUUGUCGGCAGCUGCUGAGCUCCAACCUGCGCCUCUCAGUCCUGUGCCCAUUUCUCCCAGAAACCACCAGGCCUCGGCCUGUUACCAGUCACAAAGGAUAUGGAACAGAAACCCACCCAGGGUCCAUCUUCCCACCACCCCCAUCAGCCCGUCCAGCCCCCCUCCCCCCAUCAGCCCAAGCAGCAGGGGGAGAAGGUGAGAGGCCCUGGUCCCUCCACUGGAGGGGCAGAGCUUCUGGAGCAGCUUCUGGGCAAGAGCUCUGCACGGCCCGGGCCUCCAGGUCCAGUUUCAUGCAUGAGGACAGCAGUUUGUGAUCCUGGAAAAGCUUGGGGAAAGUGGGAGGGAGAGAAGGAAGUGGAGAGGCAGGGGACAACUCCAUGAUGAAGGGUUCAAGAAACAGGCACAGGGGAAACAACUUGGGACUCUUAUCAAGGCUGGAGGUGAGCCUGAGGGGCCAGAGGAGAGAGCUGUUCACCUGCUUGGCCCUACAGCAUGCAGGAUGCAGAGUAGACCUGAGAAAGGACUUCCAGGUUAUGAGGGCUCAGGGACACCAACCAUCCAUGGGAACAGGGAGGCCAAUGAAAGGAUCUUCCCAGGAAAACCCCAGCCAGCCUGUCCUGGGGCAAAGGAAGGACAGGAUGACCUCUGGAUGCCCCUCCUGCCAGGACCAAGAUGUCCUUCCCAUGCUAAGAAGACGGCUGUGUGUCCCCACUGGGACCACUGCUGUCAGGCACUGAGGAGGGCACAGCCUUCCCAGCCUGGAUGGGAGACGGCUCAGCAGGCCUAGGCCUCCUACCCCCAGCCCCUGCCAGGCUUUGGGCAUCGCCCUCACUGUGGCCCAGGUUGGAGCCAAAGCCCCCUUUGGGGGCAGGUGAGGAGCAGCCUCUGUGGCUGUGACCUUGACUACUUUGAGUGGGGAAGGGGCUAGGGAGAGACAGAGAAGGAGCGGGGAGAAGAGAGAAAGGGACAGUAACAAGGAGAUGGAGAGAUGGGGAAGGGGACAGAGAGAGAGGAAGGGACAGGGAAGACAGACAGGGCCACGGGCAGAGGACAGCCGGCCAGGGUGGCUGCGCAUGGAGCCCAGAGAGGCCCUGUCAGUGAGCAGAUGCUGGCCUAGAGGGCGGUCUCCGGUGGUGCCACAGCUCUGUUCCCAGCCCUGGAGAAAGAAACCAACCCGAUCCACAGAUGCUGGAACCCGGGAGGGACACUAACGCUGCUGGCAACCAGCUGAGCUCAGUGAGAGAUUAAACAGAUGGAAUUUAAUACAGACGCUUUGAAAAGUCUGCAUCUGGCUUUGAAAACUAACUGCGCAAGCAGUGGGGAGGGAGAGCUGCCUGUCCGCAGCCCCUGCAGGAGCUGAGCUGGGGGUUCGGCUCCAGUCGUUGGGUGUUGAGUUGCUGGAAAACCUCAUGUGGGAAUCAGCAAGGCUCACAGCUGCUAGAGGCAUCAGACAGAAGUGGGAGAGAUGCCGAGGGAGGCAGAUUCCGAGGGAGUAAAUUGGAAGGACGGAUGCGCUGGGAGUGAGGAGGGAUCUGGACAACCACGAGCAGACGGAGGAGCAUUUGUCACUUUAGGCACCUUCACUGGAAGGAGAACAUGCUGAUUUGCUAAGAGCUGGGUCCCAGAGGUCUGAGUGGAGACACUUUCCUCCGAGGUGGGAGUUUUCUGCUCUAGGAAUGACAUCCCCUCAUGUCCAGCAGGAACGCAUCGAACCAUGUGUCCACGUCGAGACAGAUGAACAGCGUCCUGCCUUCCAACACCGCGUAUCACCUGUGCCUGUUCCAGAACUUCAUACAAAUGCACUCACACCGUCUGGUGCUCCUACAUGUCUCGUUUCCACUUUGUUCAAUAUCAUGUGUGUGUUUCAUCCAGGUUGGUGUGUUGAGUUGCACACUGUUGAUUCUUAUUGAUGUGUGAUGUUUGUAUAUUGUAUGAAUAUGCAGCAAUUUGUUUACCCAUCUAACUCUAAAUGAGAUCUGAGUACUUUCCAGUCUGGGGCUGUUAUGAACAGUGCAGCUAUAAGGUUUUUGCAAGUGCUUUUGGUGAACAUAUGGGUGAAUUUCUGUUGGGCAGAUACUUAGGAAUGGAAUUUCUGAGUCAUAAAUUACACACAGGUUCAGCAUCAAGAGAGACUCUGAACAGUUUUGCAAAGUGGUUCUUCCAAUUUAUGAGGCUUUGUCUACAGACUUGUCCCUGAGCCACCUGACCUCCCAUGACCUUACCUGGUCCUUGGGUUGUCUCAGGUCCCCUGGGCCUGCUGCUCAGUUUUCCCUCCCAGUCUUUGUCCUUCCCUGGGUCUUUGGUGCAGGACUCUCUGUGCCUGGGUCCUGUUGUUGGCUCCUGGAGACACAUUCUCAAGCCACUCUGAAUGGCAUCCUCUGGGCGUGGUAUGACCUGGCUGCCUUCCCUGCACUGGGGCCUUCCUUGGUGGCACAGCCUCCCUCACAUCCUGACCGGCCUCCUGGGGGUCCAUGGGUCAGGUGCUCUACUGAGCAUGGGGGGUCUUUGUUAAACCAACUGUGGGUCCUGCCCUUGUGGGGUUCAUAGACAAGUGUGGAGAUGGAGCCUGGGCCUUUCUUCCUAUGCUCCAAAGGUGGACGGUUGAGUCUAAGAGGAAGAGAGGGACCAAAAACUUUAUGUUGAGAGAACGCCAAACCUUGGUGUGUGAUUUACUGGGAGGGGGAAUGUCAUGGAACAGAAAGUGCAAGAACUUCAGAGUCGAUUGGUCCUGGGCUCAAGUUCCCGUUGCUCCAUGCCCAGCUAUGUGAUGGAAGAUGCUGGCACCAAUCUUGGUGGCACUGACAGUGUGUCCAGGAGGUGCCCAGCAGGCUGUGGGCAAUGCAGAGACUGAGGAAUAGGGCCCUGGAGUUAGCACUGGCAGAUCUGGCCUCACCUCUGGAUGCUCCCUGGAGGCUGUCGCCAGCAGAAGCCCCCUCUCCCGCUGUUUUCUUCCUCUGACUCACAGUGUGACCUUCGGCACACUGCCCCCUCUCAGAGUCUCAGCUGUCACAUUCAUGAAAUGGGGUUAAUCCACCUCCUGGGACUAUGAGGACUGAGACGGUGGAGGCGAUGGUGUCUAAGCAACUCUGCGGCGUCAUUCAUCCGGGGCUGCCUUGGCAUUCUCACCUCGGAUGACGUUUCCUCUCCUGCUCUUUGCUCCUGCUCUUUCCUCCAGGAUUAUCCUUCCCUCCUCCUUCCCACACUGUGCUCGUUUGCCUUCUUUCAUCCUAGUUUUACUUUCAUUUAUUAUAAUUUUAUAUUAGAUGAAUCAUCAGAGACCAGCUGGCCCCUCAUUUACACAUUGGAGAAACUGAGGCACAAAGAGAGAAAGCAAUGACCUCAAGAUCACCCAGCCAGCUGCUGUUCAGCUCUUAGCUCCACACAGAAAUUCCAGCCGCAGAAGGAUGAACUUUGAUGUGGUUGCCUACUCUCUACGCUCCAGGAAGAUGUCCAACCUUGUCUAGGAAUUUCCCUACUGACACUUGCAACAAGAGCAAAGCCCAACAAGUGUGAAGUCGGUCUUUGAAAAGCUCAAGGCUGACUUGCCCUGGAGCUGUAUCUUCUCUUUAGAUCCCAACAGUAGUUACAUUUUCUGAUCUAAAGUGGCUGUCAGUUUCAUUCCAAGUAAGGUACACUUGAUCUACUGCUUGUGUGAAUAUUGUUUGCUAUUAUACCUACUUUAAAAAUACCAUUGAUGGCAUGGUGGCACAUGCCUGUAAUCCCAGCUACUCAGGAGGCUGAGGCAGGAGAAUUGCUUGAACCCAGGAGGCGGAGAUUGCACUGAGCCGAUAUUGCGCCAUUGCACUCCAGAGCAAGACUCUGUCUCAAAAAAAAAAAAAAAAAAAAAAAAAAAUCCCAUUGAAAAAGUUGAUUACAGAAGAAGGGGUUUGAUUUGGGAAAAUUCAAGUGUGUGUGUGUGUGUGUGUACGUGCACGCAGGUGUGUGUAUUUCCCAAUAUUUAAUUUUUUUUCUUUCUCAGAACAUGCCACUUUAUAUUUAUUUAAGUUUUAAACCAAGAGCAAGUCAUUUUUUUUAAUUUUAAACUUUUCUUUAUUUCUUUUUUUAAAAAAUUAUUUAUUAUACUUUACAUUCUGGGCAACAUGCACAGAUUAUGCAGCUUUGUUACAGCACCUGUUUGAAACAUGAGUCAAUUUUCCUAAAAUCAGUAUCACUCAACGAUUUGCUUCUGGCUUGGACAGGAGAAGGCAUUGAACCAACAUGACCUGGAAGCUGUUUCUGGGAGGGAGGGCAGUGGGUGCUGGCUGGCAUUGCUCAUGGAUGGCAGUGGCUGAGAGAGACCACGGUGAGAGAGAUGUAGGAAAAUGCAUUGGCAAGGCACCUAAGAAAAUUAGCCUUUGGGUCAUCUGUGGCUCUUGGGGCAGGAGUCACUGAACUCUGGUUCACCCAUCAGAUGUGUCUGGGACCUUGAGCAUCUUCUCUCUCUUGAGAUCAUAUGACUCCUUGAUUCACAGUAAUGGUCAUCAUUGUUAAGUAUCCUUUUUACUUAUUUUAAUAAAUAUCUAUGAGUCCCCAUUGGGUGCUGGGUGCUGGGGUGAUAAUGGUGAACCCCACAAAUGACCAAGACGGGCCAGCCGGACCCCCUGCCCUGUCACUGCGGUUGCUGUCACUGUCACUGUCAUCAUGCGAAAGCUUGUCCACGCUCUCACUUUCCUGUUGCUUGGUUUCAGGACCCCUUCCCUGCCUCAUCAUCUGCUGGCCCUUCUUCUUUUGAUAUGCUUGGAGCUGGGUCUGGGGGUCUGGGGAGGGGAACAGGCACUUGGAGAACGUGUCACAGAGCCAGGUAGGGAUCCUCUUCCUGUUUCUUCCUCUCAGAAAUGACAAUUAACUCAAAUUAAUUCUAGCUCAGCCCAUACCUGAAGAAGAAAAAUAAACUGGUUAGAUUUGUUUUCUCAGUCAGCUUCUCAAGCCUGGUAUUAAUCUAUUCAUCAUCUGAGCUCAUCAGGAGCAAACAUACUUCUUCAGGAGUUUUCUAACAGGAAACAAAUGCCUCAUUAAGUUAAACAUAUUAACCUGAGAACGGUCCUGAUGUCAGACAGACUAAUGAACGUCAUUACAGGGAAUGCGCAGCAGUCCUCAGAGGGCCCCACCCUCCAUCAGGGCUCCUGCAGAUUGGCUUAGCUACUGCAGGAUGUGGGAUCAUCAGAGGCGGGAGGGGGAUGGAAAAGGGGCUGUUGCUGGAGCUGUAGUCACAGUCAGCCUUGUGAGCGGUGCCUGAUUAAUUCUGGCAUCUUCAAAUGCCUGCGAAGGGCACAGGGCCAAAGGAGGGGCCCUAUGUGCCUCACUGUUGGGUCUAAGGGGGUUGGGGCCAGAGGUUGCAGCCUCUGAAACAGGAGGAAGGGGAGGUGGGUUGAGUCGGGCAUCAGAACCCCGGGUUCUGGUCCCAGGCCUUCUCCAUAUGGUGCAGGAGGCUCAGUUCCAGCCCCUCUCCAGCAGGCCAAGGUCUGCGCUGUGCACUUCCACAAGCGUCGAGCUCAGCUACCCUCGCAGAAACCCGGGCAGACAGCGGUUUAUGGCGCAGGGUUGUGGAUGAGGACACUGAGGCUCAGAGGAGUGAAGUGACUUGCCCGAAGGUCAUCUGGCUUGUGGGAGGGAGAGAGACAGGCCCUGGCUGGCUGACCCGGUGCAGGUUCCCCCCCAACCGCCCCUCCUGCUGCUUCCCGGUGCUCUGUCUUCUACUCCCUCCCAAGCCCUCCUCCAGGACCCUGGAGCAUCUUCAUGGGGGCUGUGUGGGGAGGGGCUCUCUCCACCACCACACAGGAGCCAGGCUGAGGAGCCAGGGGCACCCUGACUUACAUAUGGCUCAGGAAGCCUACAUCUCUGUUUUUCAUCAACAAAAUGGGGCUGAGUCUUGCCACCCCACAGGCUUGCCACCCCACAGGCUUGCCGUGAGGUUCACAUGAGCCGAUGAAGGCACAGUUCUCCACACAGCCGGUGCCUAGGACGUGCUGGUCUCCCCCACUCUGCGCUGUGUCCUGGCCCACCCAGCUCCAGGAUGGCCACUGGGGAGAGGCUGAAUGGGGCCAGGUGGAACAUGGAGGAGUAGACCCCCUUCCUGAGAUCUAGCCCAGCAGCCAGGCAGUCCCAGAUUCCACAGUCCACUCUCAUUCAUUGAGAACUCAACCUGUUCCAGGCUCCAUAGGGCAUAGAGAUGACCACGGCGUGAAUUUCAUAUCCCAGUGGGGAAAAUGCCCCUGGUGCACUGGAGAGAGUCAUAGGAUGGGAGCAGAGCCACAGAAAAUGGCACAGAGAGAAUCUGGAUAUGGUGUGAAGGAGGUUAUGGGAACAAACCAGGCUCCUCCUGGGGACAGACACUGAGGACUCUUUGUAAAGGGCCAGAACUCAGGCCUUGCUAGAAUGCAUUUGUUUUCCCUGAACACUAAAAGCAUCUGGAAAACGUCUGCUGCUGGCCCCUCUCCCUCCCUGAUGUGGCUUUCAGGUAGCAUGUGUCUCAUUGGUGGAAGCCCUGAAGACACAUGCCCUCUUUCCAGCCUUGCAUGCAGACAGGCAGGCCCUGCCACCCUCUCUUGGUAGAAGCCGGAGGGGCCAGGCACAGCCCUGCGGUAACUCCUGGGAUUCGGAGCUGGUGUUCCCACCUCACAGGGUGAGUCCAGCUGCUCAUUUCUGAGUGUGGCUUCCCCUCACUGCUAGCACCUGCUCUUGUGUCAGGUGGGCACUGAGCCUUCUGGCUGAGCACGGAGGCUGCAAUUUCAUUGCAGGUUGGAGCACUUCACAUGGAGAAUGACACAAACUAUGUGUAAAGUGCUACGUGGAAUUCUGCUGCAGUUACUUACUGAAUUCCCCUCUCUCCUGGAAGUUCUUUGGUGGCAGUCAUACAUCGCUUUUACUUACAUCUUUUCCUCGAGCCUGACUCAUGUAACGGCACACCUUAAACGUUUGUUGAGUGGUUGAAGAAGAGGCACUGAAAGCAGGAAAUGGGUUCUAGCAACUCCAUUAAAAUUUCUCUAGGCACAGGAGAAACAACUGUGGAAUUUUAGAAACAAAGAUGGUAAUAAAGAGAGAAGUGAGAAGAGUCAAGGCACUUGAUGAAAUACUACCAGGCAGUUGAGCCAAACAGCUUUGUGGUGAGAGAGCUAUGGUGUAUCAGCUAGCUCCUGCUGCAUAACAAACCACUACAAACCUAUUGGCUCAGAAUAACAAGCAUUUAUGGAGCUCAGGAGUGUGUAUACAAGCUGGGUGCUUCUGCUGACGUGGGGUGGGUUUGGUUGAUCUUGGAUGGAUGUACUCCUGCAUCUGCAAUCAGCUUGUGGAUUGGCUGGGGGAUGGCUGGCUUAGCAUGGUCUCAGGGGAGUUGACUCAUUUCUGUUUCAUGUGGUGUCAUUUGACUGCAAGGCCAGCUCAGAUAGGUCUUCAUGAGUGGAAAUGAAUGUUGAAGGAGAGGGUGAAAGUACACAAGGUGUUUUGAGGCAUAGGUGGGUAUAUUGACUGUAUAUUCUCAUUUCUGUGUUAUUGAAACUCUAGCAUUUAGGGCCUUGAUCCUGGAGACACCGCCCCUAUCAGGGCUAGUUAUUCUCCAGAGAUAGCAAAGGACUCUCCUGGGAGCACAUCUUUGAUAGUCAAACCAACCAAUCCAGAGCCCACACCCCCAACCUCCUCCUUUAUCUAACUCUCACAUACCAAGCCAAUAUUCCCCCUGUCCCAUCCUGAAUUACCCAGGUCCAGGUAGUGGACAUCUAGGGACCACCCUUAUGGGUCAAAGCUCAAUGAAAUUAUCCAACCAUUCAACCCUAAGUUUACUCAGCAACCUACCCUGCCUUGCUCAUUCCUGCCCACGAGAGCCCCAAUGAAUGCCCUGGACCAUUCUAUUUCUUCUUCUCCCUCUGUCUCCUGACUUACCCUACUGCUUCCCUGCAUGACAUGCUAUGACUUGAGUUUCCAAGAAUCUGCGAGAAUAAACAUUUUCCUUCACGACAA